GCUGGGAUAGCUCAGUCGGAGGAACGUAAGUCUCUUAAUCUCUGGGUCAUGGGUUUGAGCCCCACAUUGGGCA